rnacentral:rRNA from 1 species
UACGAAGGGGGCUAGCGUUGCUCGGAAUCACUGGGCGUAAAGCGCACGUAGGCGGAUCUUUAAGUCAGGGGUGAAAUCCCAAGGCUCAACCUUGGAACUGCCUUUGAUACUGGGGAUCUCGAGUCCGGAAGAGGUUGGUGGAACUGCGAGUGUAGAGGUGAAAUUCGUAGAUAUUCGCAAGAACACCAGUGGCGAAGGCGGCCAACUGGUCCGGUACUGGACUGCG